rnacentral:rRNA from 1 species
GGGUGAGUAACGCGUGGAUAACCUACCUAUAAGACUGGGAUAACUUCGGGAAACCGGAGCUAAUACCGGAUAAUAUAUUGAACCGCAUGGUUCAAUAGUGAAAGACGGUUUUGCUGUCACUUAUAGAUGGAUCCGCGCCGCAUUAGCUAGUUGGUAAGGUAACGGCUUACCAAGGCAACGAUGCGUAGCCGACCUGAGAGGGUGAUCGGCCACACUGGAACUGAGACACGGUCCAG